UCCAGCAGUUUGCUUGCUUCCAUUUAUUUCAAAAAGCUAAAGGAAUUCUGUCUCUGCAUUUUGGGUACUUCCCUUUGCUUCUAUGUAUUGGGUAGAGUUGCUAUGUCUCGUGGAAUUGGUGAGUGGUGUCUCUGUAGGGCCCAGUGGCUCAGCCUCCACUGUGUCCUUAGCUGGGUACUCUAGGUGCAUCCCUAUGUGGGCUGUGUGCAGUCUUGUAGUUGAGCCUUGAUUGCUAUUGGUAUCACUGCAGGGAAUUAACCUCCAGGCCAAUUGGCUGAGGACCAGUGGGAGUGUUGCUGUGUGGAAAAUACCCCCAUGGAGCAGAACUUGCUUCAGUGGGGCUUUGGUGCUCAGUCUAUCCCUUGAAUGGAUGUGUAGUUAUAAUCUGGUAUGCUCUGAAGCUGUCCACCGGAUGCAUUGUCUCUAGGGCCUCCAGAGAGGUGCCCAGCUGUGAAGCAAGGCAGGCUGGCCUUUUAUUGAUAGGUUUGGGGCAUGCAGUCACCAGCUGCAGCUGGUUUGAGAGAUUUUAGAAAAGUCUGAAGCCUGAGCCAAGACAGGCCAUUCAUAUGGAAAAGCUGCUGCAAAGUUUGGGUGGGGCGGGGAUCUCAGGCAAUCACCAGGGCAGAGAAAACAGGGUGUCGCUGAUGGAAACUGACAUGGCUGCCAGUCAGCCCUAGAACAGGGAGGUCCCAGCACAGGAAAUGACCCUCUGAGGACCCAGUCUGGGAGGAAGCCACCUGAGUUCCUACCUCUAUGCCAGACAAUCCAGUUCCUCCCCUUGUGUGUGUGGGUUCUCCAGAGGUGCUGCCUAGCGCUGGAGCUCAGAGGAAGAGGGACAUGCUGUUUAUGUGCAGGCCCUUUAAAAGGAACAGCUGAAUCUCUAGCAGCCUCAGUGUCAUUUAGCCCCAAUCCCCGCUGGUUUUUACAGCCCAUUGUUAGAGAAUUCUCUUCCCAGCUCUGGGGGUCUGGUGUGGGGCUGGGACCCCUUGUUCCUCACGGAGGCCUCCACAAAGAUUAUCUCCCAUAAGGAAAAACCACACACAGGAUGUGCUACCAGCCUCUAGGUGCUCUCUUCUCCAGUUGUAGGACCUUGCAUUCAGCGAGCCUUCAGGCAAUUUUAAACGAUGGUUUAUUUCAGUUGUAAUUUUGAUGUGGUUGUGGGAGGCAGCAAGUACAGGUUUACCUUAGCUGCCACCUUCAUUCUCUAAUAUUUUAAUGGAUUAGCAUAUAAACAUGCUCUUAAAUAAAAAAGCCUCAUAUACUUCUCUAACUUUUCUAAUAAAAUAUUUCCUAUUCUCUAAACUCACCUCUAUCAAAACUGUCUUGUCCAAGUUCCCAUUCAAAAACCCUGGGACCAUCCUUGACUCCUGUUUGCGUCCUCUCCCCCAAUCCAAUCUUUUAGCAGAUCCAGCAGCCUCUACAGUCCAUGCCAUUACCUGGCAUCCCCCCAGCUGAGUGCCCGUGACACAAGGAAAGCAGUUGGAUCUCUAGACUGAAGCUCUUAUUCUGGGACUGAAGUACACAGAAUUACACAAUCAAGUUCAAUCAUCUCCAGCUCUCGUAGGCUUACCCAAAGCUACAGAACAGGAAAGAAAACGUCUCAAGAAAAACCUUGAUGUUCUGAUGUAGGAACAAGAUACCAGGCAGCCCGAUACAGACACUACACUGGAUCUGACUUACAAGCAAACUGACUCAAGAAUGCCCUCUGCUGAGCUUCCAUUUACUGUUGGGCUCUUCUAGAGCCUGCCUGCUGACAGUCCCGUUCUCCGUUCCAUUAUCACCAGACCAGCUGAGGCAGCGAGAGAUGAAGACCCAAUGAGAUCCUUGUAGGCUGAGCUCAGUGGACUCCUGUACAUCUUACCACACACUCCAUCUAGCACAACUAGGCCAUUCAUUUCUCAAACACAUCCCUAAUUUAUUUGUGGUAUUCCAUCACUUCCUACUAAAAUCCUAAAUAUGCAAUGACAUUUGGUCUAAAUGCUCACAAGAAACCAUCUGUGGAUGUGUCCAUUUCUCAAGCACUUGGGCCAAAUAUCAACCCCCAGUUACACUCAUUCUAAACUCUGUGUGCCAGGAGUAAUCUGGGCACAGCUUUUCGGGUUAUAACAAAGUUUAACUCCUAGAGCCCAACCUUGGCACUGAAGUCCCAUUCCCUGCUUAAAAUCCAAACUAUUUUUUUCUCUUCUCCCUAUGUGCUAGUCAAACAUGUCCCAAGAUUACUGUCCCCCAGCAUGGUGCCUCACAACAGAUAUCUAGUAACGAUGAACUGAGUAUUUACUGACUAAACAAAACCUCUAAAAUAAAUAUGCAUCCCAAGUUUCAAAUAAAAGACCUAUCAACAAGCCCUAGCCAAUUUGGCUCAGUGAAUAGAGCAUCAACCCUCGAACUGAAGAAUCCUAGGUCCGAUUUCCAGUCAAGGGCAUGUACCUUGGUUGCAGGCUCGAUCCCUGGCCUUGCUCAGGGUGCAUGCAGGAGGCAACCAAUCGAUGUCUCUCUCACAUCGAUGUUUGUCUCUCCCCAUCCCUAUCACUCUAAAAAAAAAGAUUCCUCAGGUGAGGAUUAAUAUAAAAUAUAAAAAGGAUUUCACCUAGGCUGGCCAGGAUGACUUAACGGUUCAACGUUGACCCUCGACCCCUGUACCAAGAGUUGGAUUCCCAGUCAGGGCACAUGCCCAGGUUGCUGACUCGAUCCCCAGUAGGGGGUGUGCAAGAGGCAGCAGAUGGAUGUUUCUCCAUCUUCCUUUCCCUCUCUAAAAAUCAAUAAAAACAUUAAAAAAUAAAAAGUCUCACCUCAGAUAAAUUUUUAUGGUGGGGAAAAAAGAACCCAUGAAAACCCAGACUUGAAGCAGAUAAAACAUGACUUUUCUAGGUAACAACCAUUAGAGUUGAGUGGUACAAUCUGUCUCGAGAGCUGAUCUUAGAAAAGGAAAAAAACAGCAAAAACAAUUUAAAUACCACCUACCUUGAAAUGUGCCACAUGCUUAGAAUUAAAAUGUCAUUUUAUAAUGACUUAAAGAAUACUGCAAUAUAUGUCUCUGAAUGGCACUGCCCUGCUUCCAAUGUUCCUGAAUCCGAGCUUCACGUGGCCCACAAUCAGUGACGGCUGUCACAGCACACCGUGGUUAAACUGAGGGGCAGACCUGCCCAAGGCCACGCCGCUCUUCAGUGGCUGACUCAGGAGACAGGCCACCCCAUCUUCAUGCAUUUGCUCUCUCCUCCCACUGAUUCAUGAAAACCAUUAAUAAUAGCCACCCCCAUCCUAGUAACUAACUCUCAUGGUUACCAGGCAAAUCUCAUGGACUAGUUAAUUCAGAAAUGAAACAAAACCAACCUGGGGUACCAGCCGUCGUCUUUGGUAAGGAGACUUUUUAAAACGCAGAAACAUUACUACCAAUGCCUUUUUCUUUAAAAGAAGGGAGUGUGGGUGUCUCUGGUGAUGGCUCCCUUAUCAGUGUGGGUUACACUUAUGAUAAGAUUUGUGCAUUUCACUGAAUGCACAUAUUACCUCAAAGCAAGCCCAUAAGCAAAUGCUGAAGUUUAGGGAUAAAAUGAACAGGAGCCUGAAACUUACUAUGAAGUAGUUAAAAAACAAGAUGAACAGGUAGGAGAUAAAGCAAAUAUAACAAAGAACUAGACAACCAAGGAUAUAUGGGAAUUUACUAUGUAAUUCUUCAGAAUUUUCUGCAUGCUUGAAAAAUUUUUGAAAUAUCAGGAAAAACACCACUAAAAAGAAAAUGGUCUUAUUUAAGUGAUAUGCAGCUGCACUUAGCUAUCUAAACACCAAGUUUUCUUCUUGUGGGCCACUGAAAACUACACCAUGAGCAUUUAAAAGACGGUGCUCACCUACACUCCCACUCUUCUCAUCCCAGCCACCAUAUCAUCUCCGGGAGGUGUUCUCUUGGUCUGUGUGAGCAUGGAAUCACUUCACUCCUAUGCUUAAAAUUCUCUGCUGAAACAGGUUUGGCUCAGUGGAUAGAGCAUCAGCCUGCGGACUGAAAGUUCCCGUCAAGGGCAUGUCCCCAGUGCGGGGUGUGCGGGAGGCAGCUGAUCAAUGUUUCUCUUUAAUUGAUGUAUCUAACUCUAUCCCCCUCUGUAAAAACUCAAUAAAAUAUAUAUUUUUAAAAAAUUCUCCAAUGGCUCCCCACUGCACAGAGAUUCAAACCCAAGCUCCAUAUCAUGGCCUACGGGCCCUACACAAAUCUCCAAGAGCCACCCCUUUCAGCCACACACCUUUCUAUUCCAUUUUAUUCUCUCUGUAGACUCAUUUCUGUCUUAAAUGAGGAGAGGCAGCUUACGAUAAAAAUCCACAGGAUCUAAAAUAAUGGGAACCAUAUUGUAAUGGCUUAGCAAGUAUUUGAAGAAUCAAAGUGCUACAGGCACCAUAUUUAACAACCAAUUUGACCAGAAUUACAGCAGCAGCCUAAAAACUGGAAAGCAUUGAAAUAGGACCUAACGUGAAUUUUAUGAUAGAGAUCGAGUGUCAUUCCUGCCAUGGCUGGGUGGCCCAGAAAGAAGGAGCCGCAGACUAAUAACAGCUGGUCUAACACCUUUUGCAAAAUCACUUAUCCUCUCUACAACUCUGUUAAUAGAAGGGGCACACCAUGAAGGCAGAGAUGACAAAUGUAACUGAUUUGAUAAUGAUCUUAAGGUAACUGUAAAAACUGAGUUAGCAUAAUGCUGUGUAAACUUACUGAUCAAUGAAUUCCACGCCAACACCAAAGGCUUCUGCCAUGUAGCCGAGGGUUAAUGACCUGUAUGAUUCCAGCAGCUGGCUGUAGGCAUGAAUUCUCAUUUCUCUCACAUAGUACCGAUAGUGAGGAGCAAAAAGCCAGUCCUUUUUCAUUUCCUGUUCCACAACAGCUAACGACUGGAAGAAAACGGAGUAGCGGCAUUCGUAGAGUGAAAACAGAUACUGCCGAACUGCUGGAAGGCUGUGCAGCACUUCAAGAAUCUCUGCUCCUUUAAUAACCUAGGAGUUAAAAAAGAGCAUGCUUUAAUAAUGUUCUGUAUUCAAGUUAGAAAAGCAUCUUUAAAUGUGAAUGCGAGAGAUUCAGCAUUACCUUUUCCCUGAGGUCUGGUCUUUCUAAGGCAAUCAUGCUGACAUAGACAGUGUAAGUCACGAAGGUUUUAUAAUCCAUGAGCUCAUAGGACG